rnacentral:ncRNA from 1 species
CUCAUCACGAGCGGUGGAGGGAACUGGCCCAGUGAAGCCGCAGCAACCAUUGCAAUUGCAAGAUUGUCAAACGGUGCUAAGUCCUUACGAGAAAUCGCAAGAUGAG